rnacentral:rRNA from 1 species
AGUGAACGCUGGCGGUAGGCCUAACACACGCAAGUCGAACGGCAGCACAGUAAGAGCUUGCUCUUACGGGUGGCGAGUGGCGGACGGGUGAGGAAUACAUCGGAAUCUACUUUUUCGUGGGGGAUAACGUAGGGAAACUUACGCUAAUACCGCAUACGACCUACGGGUGAAAGCAGGGGAUCUUCGGACCUUGCGCGAUUGAAUGAGCCGAUGUCGGAUUAGCUAGUUGGCGGGGUAAAGGCCCACCAAGGCGACGAUCCGUAGCUGGUCUGAGAGGAUGAUCCGCCACACUGGAACUGAGACACGGUCCAGACUCCUACGGGAGGCAGCAGUGGGGAAUAUUGGACAAUGGGCGCAAGCCUGAUCCAGCCAUACCGCGUGGGUGAAGAAGGCCUUCGGGUUGUAAAGCCCUUUUGUUGGGAAAGAAAAGCAGCAGGUUAAUACCCCGCUGUUCUGACGGUACCCAAAGAAUAAGCACCGGCUAACUUCGUG